rnacentral:lncRNA from 1 species
AAGACAGGUAGCAGUUUUGAGAGGGAAAAAACCUAAUCCUAUCAUUCCUGUACAAAAAAUCCAGAAUAUCUCUCUAGAAAUUACUGGGGAUCCUGUACAAGAGAAUCCACAUGAACUGGACUCUGUAAAUGAAAGCACUAAACGGUCGGAUCUUGAGGCUCGACUAGAGUUAGAUCCCUUUGAGAUCCUACCUGUUGUAACUCAAACAACAACAACAACAACAAACGCAGGAUAGGCCAGCGGGGGUGCCCCCUGACCAGUGGCCCCCUGCCCAGAG